rnacentral:rRNA from 1 species
AUUGAACGCUGGCGGCAUGCCUUACACAUGCAAGUCGAACGGCAGCACGGGAGCAAUCCUGGUGGCGAGUGGCGAACGGGUGAGUAAAGUAUCGGAACGUGCCCAGCCGUGGGGGAUAACGUAGCGAAAGUUACGCUAAUACCGCAUACGAUCUAUGGAUGAAAGCGGGGGAUCGCAAGACCUCGCGCGAUUGGAGCGGCCGAUAUCAGAUUAGGUAGUUGGUGGGGUAAAGGCUCACCAAGCCGACGAUCUGUAGCUGGUCUGAGAGGACGACCAGCCACACUGGGACUGAGACACGGCCCAGACUCCUACGGGAGGCAGCAGUGGGGAAUUUUGGACAAUGGGCGAAAGCCUGAUCCAGCCAUGCCGCGUGCAGGAUGAAGGCGUUCGGGUUGUAAACUGCUUUUGUACGGAACGAAAAGGUUUGGCCUAAUAAGCUGAGCUCAUGACGGUACCGUAAGAAUAAGCACCGGCUACUACGUGCCAGCCGCCGCCGUAA